rnacentral:rRNA from 1 species
GACGAACGCUGGCGGCGUGCUUAACACAUGCAAGUCGAACGGAAAGGCCCUGCUUUUGUGGGGUGCCCGAGUGGCGAACGGGUGAGUAACACGUGAGUAACCUGCUCUUGACUUUGGGAUAACUUCAGGAAACUGGGGCUACUACCGGAUAGGAGCUCCUGCUGCGUGGAGGGGGUUGGAACGUUUCGGCGGUUGGGGAUGGACUCGCGGCUUAUCAGCUUGCUGGUGGGGUAGUGGCUUACCAAGGCAUUGAAGGGUAGCCGGCCUGGGAGGGGGACCGGCGACAAUGGGACUGAGGUACGGCCCAGACUCGUACGGGAGGCAGCAGUGGGGAAUAUUGCACAGUGGGCGGAAGCCGGAGACGGCAGCGCUGCGGGCGUGAUGACGGCCUGCGGGUUGUAAACCGCUGUCGCCUGUUACGAAGCGGGAGUGACGGUAAUGGGUGAAGAAGCACCGGCUAACUACGUG